GGUGAGUAACGCGUUGGUGACCUGCCCCAAAGUGUGGGAUAACAGUCCGAAAGGAUUGCUAAUACCUCAUGUGGCCAUCGGGUUUAGAAACCGAUGUCUAAAGCAGCAAUGCGCUUUGGGAGGGACCUGCGUCCCAUCAGCUAGUUGGUGAGGUAACGGCUCACCAAGGCGACGACGGGUAGGGGGCCCGAGAGGGUGGCCCCCCACAAUGGAACUGAAACACGGUCCAUACACCUACGGGUGGCAGCAGUAGGGAAUAUUGCACAAUGGGCGAAAGCCUGAUGCAGCAACGCCGCGUGAGCGAUGAAGGCCUUCGGGUCGUAAAGCUCUUUUCUGGGGAGAGGAGAAAGGACAGUAUCCCAGGAAAAAAUUUUGGCUACUCCUGCACCCCAACCCCGGGGUAAAACGUAAGGAGGCAAGCGUUAUCCGGAUUCACUGGGCGUAAAGCGCGUGCAGGCGGUUUGGUAAGUUGGGCGUGAAAUCUCCCGGCUCAACUGGGAGGGGUCGUUCAAAACUACCAGACUCGAGAGCGAUAGAGGGAAAAUGGGAAUCCCGGUGUAGUGGUGAAUGCGUAGAUUUCGGGGGGAACACCAGUGGCGAAGGCGAUUUUUCUGGACGUUUCUGGCGCUUAGACCCGAAAGCUAGGGUAGCAAACCGGGAUUUAGGAGGACCCCGGGUUGUCUUACUUGUAAAACAAUGUAAACUUGGCGUUGGUGGGCUAAACUCAUUGGGCCCGACCUAACGGGUAUAGGUUCCCCCCGGGGGGCAUCCGGCCGCGGGGUU
rnacentral:rRNA from 1 species